UACAGAGGUGGCAAGCGUUGUUCGGAAUUACUGGGCGUAAAGGGCGCGUAGGCGGCCCACUAAGUCAGACGUGAAAUCCCCCGGCUUAACCUGGGAACUGCGUCUGAUACUGGAGGGCUUGAGUAUGGGAGAGGGAUGUAGAAUUCCAGGUGUAGCGGUGAAAUGCGUAGAUAUCGAGAGGAACACCAGUGGCGAAGGCGAGUCCCUGGACAGAUCCUGACGCUGAGGCACGAAAGCUAGGGGAGCAAACAGG
rnacentral:rRNA from 1 species